rnacentral:rRNA from 1 species
GACCACUCCAGAAUACAUUCACGAAUGUAUUGUGCAGUAUUUGCUCUUUAACAAUCCGGAACAAGCUGAAAAUUUGAAAGAGCAGCUUCUUGCAUAAAGAACUGUUCAGAGUCUCUCAAUUUCUCGCACCAUGCGGUGUAUGGGGAAACCCAGUGUGAUUCGUCACACUAUCGUUAAGUGAAUACAUAGCUUAACGAGGCGAACCGGGGGAACUGAAACAUCUAAGUACCCCGAGGAAAAGAAAUCAACCGAGAUUCCCUGAGUAGCGGCGAGCGAACGGGGAACAGCCCAGAGCCUGAAUCAGCAUGUGUGUCAGUGGAAGCGUCUGGAAAGGCGCACGGUACAGGGUGACAGUCCCGUACACGAAGAUGCAUGUGCUGUGAGCUCGAUGAGUAGGGCGGGACACGUGGUAUCCUGUCUGAAUAUGGGGGGACCAUCCUCCAAGGCUAAAUACUCCUGACUGACCGAUAGUGAACCAGUACCGUGAGGGAAAGGCGAAAAGAACCCCGGCGAGGGGAGUGAAAAAGAACCUGAAACCGUGUACGUACAAGCAGUGGGAGCCUUCAUUUAUGAGGGUGACUGCGUACCUUUUGUAUAAUGGGUCAGCGACUUAUAUUCUGUAGCAAGGUUAACCGUAUAGGGGAGCCGCAGGGAAACCGAGUCUUAACCGGGCGCUCAGUUGCAGGGUAUAGACCCGAAACCCGGUGAUCUAGCCAUGGGCAGGUUGAAGGUUGGGUAACACUAACUGGAGGACCGAACCGACUAAUGUUGAAAAAUUAGCGGAUGACCUGUGGCUGGGGGUGAAAGGCCAAUCAAACCGGGAGAUAGCUGGUUCUCCCCGAAAGCUAUUUAGGUAGCGCCUCGUGAAUUCAUCUCCGGGGGUAGAGCACUGUUUCGGCUAGGGGGCCAUCCCGGCUUACCAACCCGAUGCAAACUGCGAAUACCGGAGAAUGUUAUCACGGGAGACACACGGCGGGUGCUAACGUCCGUCGUGAAGAGGGAAACAACCCAGACCGCCAGCUAAGGUCCCAAAGUCAUGGUUAAGUGGGAAACGAUGUGGGAAGGCCCAGACAGCCAGGAUGUUGGCUUAGAAGCAGCCAUCAUUUAAAGAAAGCGUAAUAGCUCACUGGUCGAGUCGGCCUGCGCGGAAGAUGUAACGGGGCUAAACCAUGCACCGAAGCUGCGGCAGCGACGCGAAUGCGUUGUUGGGUAGGGGAGCGUUCUGUAAGCCUGCGAAGGUGUGCUGUGAGGCAUGCUGGAGGUAUCAGAAGUGCGAAUGCUGACAUAAGUAACGAUAAAGCGGGUGAAAAGCCCGCUCGCCGGAAGACCAAGGGUUCCUGUCCAACGUUAAUCGGGGCAGGGUGAGUCGACCCCUAAGGCGAGGCCGAAAGGCGUAGUCGAUGGGAAACGGGUUAAUAUUCCCGUACUCGGUGUUACUGCGAAGGGGGGACGGAGAAGGCUAUGUUGGCCGGGCGACGGUUGUCCCGGUUUAAGCGUGUAGGCUGACUUUCCAGGCAAAUCCGGAAGGUCAAGGCUGAGGCGUGACGACGAGGCACCACGGUGCUGAAGCAACAAAUGCCCUGCUUCCAGGAAAAGCCUCUAAGCAUCAGGUAACAGUGAAUCGUACCCCAAACCGACACAGGUGGUCAGGUAGAGAAUACCAAGGCGCUUGAGAGAACUCGGGUGAAGGAACUAGGCAAAAUGGUGCCGUAACUUCGGGAGAAGGCACGCUGGCACGUAGGUGGAGGGACCUGCUCCCCGAGCCGAAGCCAGUCGAAGAUACCAGCUGGCUGCAACUGUUUAUUAAAAACACAGCACUGUGCAAACACGAAAGUGGACGUAUACGGUGUGACGCCUGCCCGGUGCCGGAAGGUUAAUUGAUGGGGUUAUCGCAAGAGAAGCUCCUGAUCGAAGCCCCGGUAAACGGCGGCCGUAACUAUAACGGUCCUAAGGUAGCGAAAUUCCUUGUCGGGUAAGUUCCGACCUGCACGAAUGGCGUAAUGAUGGCCAGGCUGUCUCCACCCGAGACUCAGUGAAAUUGAACUCGCUGUGAAGAUGCAGUGUACCCGCGGCAAGACGGAAAGACCCCGUGAACCUUUACUACAGCUUGACACUGAACAUUGAGCCUUGAUGUGCAGGAUAGGUGGGAGGCUUUGAAGCGUGGACGCCAGUCUGCGUGGAGCCAUCCUUGAAAUACCACCCUUUAAUGUUUGAUGUUCUAACCUGGCGCCAUAAUCUGGCGUGGGGACAGUGUCUGGUGGGUAGUUUGACUGGGGCGGUCUCCUCCCAAAGUGUAACGGAGGAGUACGAAGGUCAGCUAAUCACGGUCGGACAUCGUGAGGUUAGUGCAAUGGCAUAAGCUGGCUUGACUGCGAGAGUGACGGUUCGAGCAGGUGCGAAAGCAGGUCAUAGUGAUCCGGUGGUUCUGAAUGGAAGGGCCAUCGCUCAACGGAUAAAAGGUACUCCGGGGAUAACAGGCUGAUAC